rnacentral:misc_RNA from 1 species
UCUCCGUAGGUGAACCUGCGGAGGGAUCAUUACCGAACGGGCGCCUCGCGUCCUCGAAACCUUGAAACCGUGGAAACGACGCGUGCUUCGGCGCUCCGGCGCCGUCCUCAUGCUCGAACCUGUCCAGUGUCUGAAUGAAGAAACAUGAAUCAAAACUUUCAACAAAGGAUCUCUUGGCUCUCGCAUCAUGAAGAACGCAGC